AAGAAAUUAAUUUAUCAAAAAUAUAGGAAUGUCAAACCUAAAAUAUCUUAGGAUAUUUCUUU
rnacentral:tRNA from 1 species